rnacentral:rRNA from 1 species
UACGUAGGGUCCGAGCGUUGUCCGGAAUUACUGGGCGUAAAGAGCUCGUAGGUGGUUUGUCGCGUUGUUCGUGAAAACUCACAGCUCAACUGUGGGCGUGCGGGCGAUACGGGCAGACUAGAGUACUGCAGGGGAGACUGGAAUUCCUGGUGUAGCGGUGGAAUGCGCAGAUAUCAGGAGGAACACCGGUGGCGAAGGCGGAUCUCUGGGCCGUAACUGACGCUGAGGAGCGAAAGCAUGGGGAGCGAACAGG